rnacentral:rRNA from 1 species
UACAGAGGAGCCAAGCGUUGUCCGGAUUGACUGGGCGUAAAGCGCACGCAGGCGUCUGGCGCGUGGGGUGUGAAAUCUGGCCGCUUAACGGCCAGGCGCCAUCCCCAUACGGCUAGACUGGAGGGCUGCAGAGGUCGAUGGAAUUGCCGGUGUAGUGGUGAAAUGCGUAGAGAUCGGCAGGAACACCCCAGGGGGGAAACCAGUCGACUGGGGCAGCACCUGACGCUGAGGUGCGAGAGCGUGGGGGAGCGAACCGG